UACGUAGGGUGCAAGCGUUAAUCGGAAUUACUGGGCGUAAAGCGUGCGCAGGCGGUUUUGUAAGACAGGCGUGAAAUCCCCGGGCUCAACCUGGGAAUUGCGCUUGUGACUGCAAAGCUGGAGUGCGGCAGAGGGGGAUGGAAUUCCGCGUGUAGCAGUGAAAUGCGUAGAUAUGCGGAGGAACACCGAUGGCGAAGGCAAUCCCCUGGGCCUGCACUGACGCUCAUGCACGAAAGCGUGGGGAGCGAACAGG
rnacentral:rRNA from 1 species